rnacentral:tRNA from 1 species
GCCUGGGUGGCUCAGUCGGUUAAGCGUCCGACUUCGGCUCAGGUCACGAUCUCGCAGUCCGUGGGUUCGAGCCCCGCGUCGGGCU